CCGAGACCUUGACAGUGAUGAUUGGAAUGAUGGUGUGCAACGCUGACUGUGAGCUGAGGGGGUUUCAUUGCCGAGGGAUAUGUGAAGUGACUCAGAUUGCAAGGGAAAUCUUAAAGUCUUACUUGAGUUGUCCUCCCCACUGCCUGCCGCCUGGAGGAUACAGAAUCAAGGCUCUCUCACCCACUCUUUUAACAACCUACUCAGACUGUUAGCUCCUCACUGCCGGUCACAGUCAAGGUCAGGGCCUUUGCUUACAAUCUCAGCGUCUCUCUCAAGCCUCAGGUGUUCUUGCUUUCCUCCUCCUCCCUGAGGUUAAUGACUAAACUGGCCACCUGGAAGCCAAGCGCACCACUGGGGAGCAAGGUCAAUUGCAGGGCUCUCCUCCAGGCCUUCCCUGGCUGGAACCCACCCACCUUAUCCACUUGGAUGAGAAUUUCUCUGAAUGUCUCUGCUCUGGGCUGGGAGCCUCCCCUGGGACCUACUCAGAUGAACGCCUCUCAGAAGCAUGGAUGGGCAGGUUUUAUCUUCAGACCCAUCCUUUUGUGACAGACUUCCCAACCUCUCAGAGGGGACUUGUCUGAAAUGUAACAAGAGGCAAGCUGACUCCUGCUCAUACUCGGGCAAUCUGACCCCCACAGAUAAGGAGGAAACUGGUGUGAGUGUGGGUCCCGCUGGCUGUCUAGUGCUAUGCAGCAAUUGUUCAGGGGUGAGCCCAGUGUCUGCCAUGGUGUUCCUCUAUCUGGAAGUGAAAGAACUACUUCUGUGUAUGCACGGAGUUUGAGAGAUACCUGGUCACUCCGGGGCCUCUGGAGCAAGAUGUUCACUGGAUGAAAACAAAAACCAAAGCUACCAGAAGGCAGCCUUGCUGAAAUUCCACCUCCUCCCUGAAGCCUUCCCCGAUGACCACAGUCCAGGCAGACAAUGUCUUUUACAGAUAUUUACUCUGCACUUUGGACUUGUGGAAUCUUGUUUUCUCUUCCAUUGGGUCUCUCUGUAGCAUGGUCUUACACAGUCCUGAGACCAUAAUACUUACUUAAUCACUUUAAUAGUGCAAGGCAGCAACGACAGUGACAAGUGCACUCAAUUGGGAGUCAGAGGACUCUAGUUCAAAUCAUGUCUCUGUCCCCUGCUAGUGUGACUUUGGACAAGUCACUCAUCUUCUUAGAUGACCUGCAAGGCCCCUCCUAGCUCUAAAUCUAUGGUCCUAACUCUCGAUUCAUUGAAAACUUACCCAUUACUUGAGAAGCCACUUUGAAAUGAAGUUUUGGCGCAAAGGAAAGAGCUUUGGAUUCAGAAUCAAAAUACUUGGAUUUGAAUCCUGGUGCUACUGCUUUCUACCUGUGUAACCUUGGACAAGUCAUUUAAUCUUAUGUAGGAUCAGUUUUCUUACCUACAAAAUGAAGGUAGUAUGACUAAUGGACUCCAAGGUCCCUUGGAACUAAAUGCUGUGACCCUGUGAAUCUUGGGGAUGAGUGGACUGGUGGGUGCUUUCUCACAGUAAGCCCCUCAGAGGAGAAUAAAGGUAGCUUACACCACCA
rnacentral:lncRNA from 1 species